AGGACUAUAGUUAACUAUAACAUUUAAUUCGCACUUAAAAAGUAUUGAAAUCCAAUUUGUCUUG
rnacentral:tRNA from 1 species